rnacentral:rRNA from 1 species
AUUGAACGCUGGCGGCAGGCCUAACACAUGCAAGUCGAGCGGAUGAAGGGAGCUUGCUCCUGGAUUCAGCGGCGGACGGGUGAGUAAUGCCUAGGAAUCUGCCUGGUAGUGGGGGAUAACGUCCGGAAACGGGCGCUAAUACCGCAUACGUCCUGAGGGAGAAAGUGGGGGAUCUUCGGACCUCACGCUAUCAGAUGAGCCUAGGUCGGAUUAGCUAGUUGGUGGGGUAAAGGCCUACCAAGGCGACGAUCCGUAACUGGUCUGAGAGGAUGAUCAGUCACACUGGAACUGAGACACGGUCCAGACUCCUACGGGAGGCAGCAGUGGGGAAUAUUGGACAAUGGGCGAAAGCCUGAGCCAGCCAUGCCGCGUGUGUGAAGAAGGUCUUCGGAUUGUAAAGCACUUUAAGUUGGGAGGAAGGGCAGUAAGUUAAGACCUUGCUGUUUUGACGUUACCAACAGAAUAAGCACCGGCUAACUUCGU